CUAACCACAAAGGAGAAAUAGAGAGUCAGCUGUCCUCUUGAGUUCCCUAGAUCACUUCACUGGGGUUAUGGGGUCUGCUCUUGCCAGAGCCUAGAUAAACGGGAGGUCCCUGAUGACCUACUGAAGUGUUUGGGGGAACUCUGGUUGGCACCUGACACAGAUUACAAAUAUGAGCAUACGAAGCCAUAACUAUAAAAGGCAAGGUUGGUGGAUAGUCAUCUUCUUUCUUCAACUUAACACAUAUUAUCAUGUUUAUUUCACAUUCCACGUAUCAUUUUUUCAAUCAUUAAGUCAUUUUCUGUUCAAAGAAUCAGCAGUUCUACAAGUGCACAAACUUUGCCUGUAAGAUGUCCAAAGAGCCUUUGCCUUCACAGAAAAGCACCUGGGACAAGUUUCUUUAACUUCCCAUCCUCCAUACCCUUCGUAAGAUCUGUUAUAAAAACCUGCCUUAGAUGAUAAUGGGGCAGCCAGGAGGACGGUUUAUUUCUGUUUCUUCAUCGAUAUAAUCACAAUCGUCUAGCUGCAGUGAAACUCAACAAAAAAAUAAAGCAGUCGAGGAAAAGACAAUCUCUAUUCAAUCGGCUAUCCGGGGGGAAAAAAGAACAGAAGGCAUUCAUAUUAAACACCAAUGAAUGGUGCCUUAGUUUCAUUAGAUUCCGAUCAUUUUCAAGAAACAAUCUACAGAUGCUAAUGCUAGCAGUAAAAAAAAGACUUUUUACUAUGAAGCAACAUUAAUUCUGGUAUGCUUUUGAGUAGAUCAUUCAUGUGAGCUGUCAUCUGUUCUUCCCAAAUGAUUUUCAGUUUGUCUUGAAGUUCCUUUAAUCAUAACAAUCAUAUGGCCUAUGCAGAAGAAUCUCUGCUUUGCAGUUCAUUGUACUUUAUCAGGAUUCAAAAGAAAAGAUGAAAAACCUUUUCAUCUUAGUAAAUAAUUAGAGCAGUAUCAUCAAAGAUAA